GGGGAGCGAACAGGAUUAGAUACCCUGGUAGUCCAUGCUGUAAACGGUGGGCGUUAGGUGUGGGGACUGGUUUUGGUUUCUGUGCCGUAGCUAACGCAUUAGGCGCCCCGCCUGGGGAGUACGGCCGCAAGGCUAAAACUCAAAGGAAUUGACGGGGGCCCGCACAAGCGGCGGAGCAUGUGGAUUAAUUCGAUGCAACGCGAAGAACCUUACCUGGGUUUGACAUGCACCAGAUCGGCGUAGAGAUACGUUCUCCCUUGUGGUUGGUGCACAGGUGGUGCAUGGUUGUCGUCAGCUCGUGUCGUGAGAUGUUGGGUUAAGUCCCGCAACGAGCGCAACCCUUGUCUUAUGUUGCCAGCACAUUUUUGGUGGGGACUCAUGAGAAACUGCCGGGGUCAACUCGGAGGAAGGUGGGGAUGACGUCAAAUCAUCAUGCCCUUUAUACCCAGGGCUUCACACAUGCUACAAUGGUCGGUACAACGGGUUGCGACACUGUGAAGUGAAGCUAAUCUCUUAAAGCCGGCCUCAGUUCGGAUUGGGGUCUGCAACUCGACCCCAUGAAGUCGGAGUCGCUAGUAAUCGCAGAUCAGCAACGCUGCGGUGAAUACGUUCCCGGGCCUUGUACACACCGCCCGUCACGUCAUGAAAGUUGGUAACACCCGAAGCCCAUGGCCUAACCACCGCUUGUGUGGUGGGGGGAGUGGUCGAAGGUGGAUUGGAAGGGGU
rnacentral:rRNA from 1 species